rnacentral:tRNA from 1 species
GUCGCAUAGUGGCCGAGUGCGCUUGUUUCGAAAACAAGUAAGUCCGCAAGGGCUUCGUGAGUUCGAAUCUCACC